rnacentral:tRNA from 1 species
UGGGACAUCGCCAAGCGGUAAGGCAUCGGGCUUUGACUCCGUCAUGCGCAGGUUCGAAUCCUGCUGUCCCAG